GCCCGGGUGGCGAAAUUGGUAGACGCAAGGGACUUAAAAUCCCUCGAGCAAAAAUGCUCGUGCCGGUUCGACUCCGGCCCCGGGCACCA
rnacentral:tRNA from 1 species